UCCAAUGAUGUCUGAGUAGUG
rnacentral:siRNA from 1 species